rnacentral:rRNA from 1 species
GCAAGUAGAACGCACAGUGUAUACCGUAGCUUGCUACAACAUAGACUGUGAGUUGCGAACGGGUGAGUAACGCGUAGGUAACCUGCCUGGUAGCGGGGGAUAACUAUUGGAAACGAUAGCUACUACCGCAUAAUAUUAAUUAUUGCAUGAUAAUUGAUUGAAAGAUGCAACUGCAUCACUACCAGAUGGACCUGCGUUGUAUUAGCUAGUAGGUGAGGUAACGGCUCACCGAGGCGACGAUACAUAGCCGGCCUGAGAGGGUGAUC